AGCAGCCGCGGUAAUUCCAGCUCCAAUAGCGUAUAUUAAAGUUGUUGCAGUUAAAAAGCUCGUAGUUGAAUUUCGGGGUCAGUAGGUCGGUCGUGCCACUGGUAUGAACUGGUUUUACUGAUUCCUCCCUCUUGAAGAACUGUAAUGCCAUUAAUUUGGUGUUGCAGGGAAACAGGACUGUUACUUUGAAAAAUUAGAGUGUUUAAAGCAGGCUUUAGCUUGAAUACAUUAGCAUGGAAUAAUGAAAUAGGACGUUUGAUCCUAUUUUGUUGGUUUCUAGGAUUGACGUAAUGAUUAAUAGGGAUAGUUGGGGGCAUUAGUAUUCAAUUGUCAGAGGUGAAAUUCUUGGAUUUAUUGAAGACUAACUACUGCGAAAGCAUUUGCCAAGGAUGUUUUCAUUAAUCAAGAACGAAAGUUAGGGGAUCGAAGACGAUCAGAUACCGUCGUAGUCUUAACCAUAAACUAUGACCGACUAGGGAUCGGAUGAUGUUAAUUUUUAAUGUACUCAUUCGGCG
rnacentral:rRNA from 1 species